rnacentral:sRNA from 1 species
GGGGCAACUAUUUCAGAUUGUGAUCGACGCCGCAGUGGCGGUUGUAAGGACGCUGCGGCUUUGCU